UACAGAGGUCUCAAGCGUUGUUCGGAUUCAUUGGGCGUAAAGGGUGCGUAGGUGGCGCCGUAAGUCAGGUGUGAAAUUCGGAGCUUAACUCCGAAACUGCAUUUGAUACUGCGGUGCUUGAGGACUGGAGAGGAGACUGGAAUUUACGGUGUAGCAGUGAAAUGCGUAGAGAUCGUAAGGAAGACCAGUGGCGAAGGCGGGUCUCGUGGACAGUUCCUGACACUGAGGCACGAAGGCCAGGGGAGCAAACGGGG
rnacentral:rRNA from 1 species